UAAAUGUGGAGUUAGAUAACCACUAAAAAAAACGGGCGAAACUGAAAAGCCAAAUGAGUAAGAAAAAU
rfam:Bacteroidetes bacterium RIFCSPLOWO2_12_FTLL_35_15 rifcsplowo2_12_scaffold_336, whole genome shotgun sequence.